GGAUCCAGACUUUGAUUAUGGCUCAGGAUGAACGCUAGCUACAGGCCUAACACAUGCAAGUCGAGGGGAGACGGCAGCUUAGCUUGCUAAGCUGGACGUCGACCGGCGCACGGGUGAGUAACGCGUAUCCAACCUGCCCCACGGUGAGGGAUAACCCGCGGAAACGCGGCCUAAUACCUCAUGGUCUCCGAGCUUGACAUCAAUCUUGGAGUAAAGAUUCAUUGCCGUGGGAUGGGGAUGCGUCUGAUUAGCUUGUUGGCGGGGCAACGGCCCACCAAGGCAACGAUCAGUAGGGGUUCUGAGAGGAAAGCCCCCCACAUUGGAACUGAGACACGGUCCAAACUCCUACGGGAGGCAGCAGUGAGGAAUAUUGGUCAAUGGGCGUGAGCCUGAACCAGCCAAGUAGCGUGCAGGAAGACGGCCCUAUGGGUUGUAAACUGCUUUUAUGCGGGGAUAAAGCGGGCGACGUGUCGCCCUUUGCAGGUACCGCAUGAAUAAGGACCGGCUAAUUCCGUGCCAGCAGCCGCGGUAAUACGGAAGGUCCGGGCAUUAUCCGGAUUUAUUGGGUUUAAAGGGAGCGCAGGCCGGGUAUUAAGCGUGUUGUGAAAUGUAGGCGCCCAACGUCUGCACCGCAGCGCGAACUGGUGCCCUUGAGUACGCACGACGUUGGCGGAAUUCGCCGUGUAGCGGUGAAAUGCUUAGAUAUGGCGAAGAACUCCGAUUGCGAAGGCAGCUGACGGGAGCGCUACUGACGCUCAUGCUCGAAAGCGCGGGUAUCGAACAGGAUUAGAUACCCUGGUAGUCCGCGCGGUAAACGAUGGAUGCCCGCUAUUUGCGCAUUAGCGCAAGUGGCCAAGCGAAAACGUUGAGCAUCCCACCUGGGGAGUACGCCGGCAACGGUGCAACUCAAAUGAAUUGACGG
rnacentral:rRNA from 1 species